rnacentral:tRNA from 1 species
CCCGGAUAGUUAACAAUAACAUUAGGUCGUGACCCUAAAAACUAGAGGCUCCUCUUCCUGGCC